rnacentral:miRNA from 1 species
UGGGACAGAUGACUUACUGAGUAAAAGGGUAUAAAAGUUGUGAAGCGUAAGAAACGUCUCACACGUCCCUUCUCGUUUUAAUAAUUUUUUUUAGAGGUAGCGGUUCGGUUUUUUCACACAACUUUUGUAUGUCCCAUCUGUUUGUAAUUUUUUGCUAUUCUAAAAAGCUGAUAAACGCAUCUACAACGAAAAGGGACUUGUGAAAAGCUUCUUACGCGUCACAACUUUCAUACCCGGUACUCAGUACAACAUCUGUACCU